AAGCUCGGAACAACAGUUCAUUCAAUCAGCAGUACAACCAAAAUAAAGCGAAACAUACCUUUGAAAUUGAAAUUGAAUCGAGCUCGGAACACUGGAACAGGACAGCAGCGUCUUCGACACUUCGUUUUGCCCGGAAUUUGUGAGGAGUGAGGAAUCGAAUCGAGCUGGAAAUCACCGCCUAUGAUAUUUUCCUACACUGGAACAGUAUACUUCGUUUGAUGCAGAAAAUCAGACCAUUAUAAUUUAAAGGCCCAUGCGGAAACUCAAAAGUCAAAACUUAAGCAGUCGUAGACCGGUGAAGAUGAGAUGAAAGUGAGACUUACAAAACGUAGACUGAUAUCCUAAGCAAGUACGCAGUCGAUUCUCGUCUAGACUCGCAGACUGAUAAGUGAUAUCCUAGACUCGCAGAGUCGCAGACUCGCAGUCGUCCAGUCGAUGACUCGAUUCUCGUCUUCUUCUUCUCGAUGAUAUCUCCAGUCGAAGAAUGAAGUCUGAAGCAGUAAGCAUUAACCAAGCCCUAAUGGCUAAUGAGUAAUGCCUUAUGCGGUUAUGCCCUACUUUGAG
rnacentral:lncRNA from 1 species